AGGACAGAUGCCAGGACAGAUCCAUUGCUCACAGCAAAGAGAGACAUUGUUUGAUGUCACAACACCAAAGGAAUUUGAACGAGCCAGACACCAGUUGAUAGCCUCAUUCUGUGGUAUAAAUAAAGACUUCGAAAACCAUUACACAGAGACUUACCACACCAGCGCCAUACCCUUUGGUUAUUUUUCUCCCAGACAGAUGAGACAACCUCUGCGUGACCCUGGCCAGGCCCAAGGGAAAGAGUAAUAUCCACUCUUCUGUCCACAGCCACAACAUCUACAUUAGUGGCCUCCUCUAGCUCCAGAGUCUCAAAGUCCCACUACUCAAAGACAUCGGGGGCUGGACAGAUACCUGGUGUGAUAAAGAGAGAGAAAGAAAGAGAAAGACCAAAAAGUGAGGGUGUGCAGCGUCACCUCCUGCCCACUGGGAGGCAGUGAAGCACACCGGGAUGAGGAAGGCGUCACUGCGGAUGGUGCUGCAGGACUGGGGGAAUCACCCGCAGAAGCUGCUGUACACCGUCUGGACCAGGGUACUGGGGAACUCCUCGAGGAAAUACUACUAUUUAGAAUAUGAUGUUAUAAUAUACUGUAUGAUAUCAAUAUGGAAAAUGGUUUGAUCAUAUAGGCCACAGGUAUCCUAGUGGUUAUGAGCAUUGGGCCACUAACCGGAAGGUUGCUGGUUUGAAUCCCUGACUAGGUGAAAAAUCUGUUGAUGUGUGUCCUUGAGCAAGGCAACACUAGUUUCUCUGGAAAAGAGCAUCUGCUAAGUAACUCAACUGUAAACAUAAAAAACACUGUGCUCAGUUGAAUCGUACAAUACUGAAUGUUGUGUGCGGGAUUAUUCCUUAUCAUUGUACACAGGAGAGGAACAACUACAGGUUCCACGUCAGUAGACUGCACUGCAGGGAUCAUCAACUAGAUUCAGCAGCGGACCGAUUUACUAAAAUCUUGAGAGGAUAUUUUUCCACACAGAUAUGAUAGUUGACAAAAAAAAACAAUCAGGGGCCUCCCGGGUGGCGCAGUGGUCUAGGGCUGCCACCAGAGACCCUGGGUUCGCGCCCAGGCUAUGUCGCAGCCGGCCGCGACCGGGAGGCCCAUGGGGCGACGCACAAUUGGCCUAGCGUCGUCCGGGUUAGGGAGGGCUUGGCCGGUAGGGAUAUCCUUGUCUCAUCGUGCACUAGCAACUCCUGUGGCGGGUUGGGUGCAGUGCGUGCUAACCAAGGUCACCAGGUGCUUGGUGCAUGGUGUUUCCUGAGGCUGGCUUCCGGGUUGGAUGCGCGCUGUGUUAAGAAGCAGUGCGGCUUGGCUGGGUUGUGUUUCGGAGGACACAUGGCUUUCGACCUUCACCUCUCCCGAGCCCGUAUGGGAGUUGUAGCAAUGAGACAAGAUAGUAACUACUAACAAUUGGAUACCAUGAAAAGGGGGUAAAAUUCAAAUAAAACACAAUAAUUUAAAAACAUUAUAAUCACAUAUCUCUCUAUUAUGCGUAGGAAUACUUUGGAACAGAUUUCCAAAAUUCAAAUCACUUGGAGAUGAUUUGCUGGUGUUUUUACAGUCGUGUCCAACAAGUAAAAAUCAAAGAAAGUCUCCUCCAUGAUAGAAACGGGAUACUUUGGAACAUUACCUUGUACCUAGGCUACAGGAAAGGGUUCAAAUUGGUUCAAAAUCCACUGAGGAAUAUUGAACAUUAAAAAUGAAUGUUAAAGAGCUAUAUAGCCUGAGUAUCAAACUCAUGUUUCAGAUUCAACACUCCACAAUUGUCUCACAAAAGCAGACAUGUUGGAUAGAGCAGAAAAGACUCAAACUGCUUAAAUUCAGGAAGUCAUAUUUGAUUAUGAGGAGCUUCCUGACAGACGGGGCAGUGCUGUAUCUUGUGGGUGAGUUGUGGCUGUGCCCUCACUACGUGGAUGACGAUGGUAGAGAAGGCGAUGCUGUGUGACAGGGGCACUGGCAUGUCGUCUCUGAACCCUGGGUAUUGAUACAGCUCCACCAGCUUGGGCAUGCUCUCCUCACGCUGAGGGUUAGAGAGAGAAAGCAGAAAGAUACACAUCAUAUCUCAAUGGGCACAAUUGGAAAAUGAUGUCAUUGGGACUUCCCAUACCCACUUUUGCCUGCUGGACAACACGCAUUGCUAUUUGAACACAAACACAAAAGAUUAUCAGUUGAAUUCAGUCACAAAGCUGUUGAAUGUGAUACAUAUGUUACUGUACAGAAGGGCCUAUGUCAUUAAUUCCAUGAUGUAUUUAGGAGAACACCAUUGACUAGUCAGCCUCAGGUUGUGGCCUACUUAUCUUUACCAGCUCUCGCUGAUUAUAGAUCAAAACACAAUUUACAUAAUAGGCAGGUGACAUUUGGGUUUCACAAGCGAUACGUCACUCCUCAUCAUUGUGACCUCUAACCCAUGACCUUUGACAAAUCGUUAUAGUAUUUUUUUGUUGCAACUCAUAAAAUAGAUGAACUGCUCCUACUGUACAUUCAUUUCCUCUCAUUCUUUAUCAAUGUAAUGCAUGGAGAACAUCAUGUGUAACAAUGUUCAGGUAACCUCUGUGAAAUUAGCUAAUGAUCAAGGUCAGUGUUUCUAUUCGAAAAAUUUGUCAAUAACUUUUACUCUGUGCACUUGUAAAUGAGUUACUUUUUACUUUUACUUGAUUCUGUUUUUUUUACACCAUUAGUUUUACGUCUAUGUGAGUACAAAUUAAUUCAAGUAAAAGUAGCCUACUUCUAAUUGAGUAGGAUAUUUCAGGACUCUUUCCACCCCCGUGGGCAUAGAAAGCCAAGCAUCCCAUACUUGGCCCUCUGUAAUAGCAGCUAGGUGAGUAUGCAGCAUUGGUCCGUGGUCAUAAAACACAGGCAGCAUCCAGUUGAUACAAAUACUAACUAUGAGGUGUGUGUGUGUGUGUGUGUGUGUGUGUGUGUGUGUGUGUGUGUGUGUGUGUGUGUG
ensembl:lncRNA